GGUCAGCUGACACAUCCCUGCCAAUCUCCGGCAGACCCUCCCUCCCAGACCCUCCCACCUCCUGGACAGCAUCCAUGUUGAAGCUGCCUUCAACAUGGAUGCUGUCCAGGAAGUAGGAGGGUCUGGGAGGGAGGGUCUGCUGGAGAUUGGCCGGGAUGUGUCACAUGA